CCGUUAACGAACGAGACUUAACCUGCUAAAUAGGAGUCAGGAACUUCGUGUUCUUGUAUCACUUCUUAGAGGGACUUUGCGUGUCUAACGCAAGGAAGUUUGAGGCAUAACAGGUCUGUGAUGCCCUUAGAUGUUCUGGGCUGCACGCGCGCUACACUGAUGCAUCCAACGAGUUUAUAACCUUGGCCGAUAGGUCUAGGUAAUCUUGUGAGUAUGCAUCGUGAUGGGGAUAGAUUAUUGCAAUUAUUAAUCUUCAACGAGGAAUGCCUAGUAGGCGCAAGUCAGCAGCUUGCGCCGAUUACGUCCCUGCCCUUUGUACACACCGCCCGUCGCUCCUACCGAUUGAGUGUUCCGGUGAAUUAUUCGGACCGUUUUGUGGCGCGUUCGUGCCCGAAAUGGGAAGUUUUGUGAACCUUAACACUUAGAGGAAGGAGAAGUCGUAACAAGGU
rnacentral:rRNA from 1 species